GCAACCAUGACUUUGGUCUCCAUCUUCAUCUGGACGCUCACCCUCUGGACUCAAGGAUCCAGUGGUCAGGUCACAGUGACUCAGACACCUGCAGUGAAAACUGUUUCUCCAGGAGACUCAGUUACCAUCAGCUGUAAGUUCAGCAGCAAUGUUAAUCCCUACUGUGGUGGGUCAAAUGACUGUUUAUCCUGGUAUCAGCAGAAACCUGGAGAAGCUCCUAAACUCCUGAUCUACUACGCUACCAGUAGACAGUCAGGUAUUCCAGCUCGUUUCAGUGGCAGUGGAUCUGGAUCUGACUUCACUCUGACCAUCAGUAAUGUCCAGACUGACGAUGCAGGAGAUUUUUACUGUCAGAGUUUUCAUUAUAUCAGUAGCACACACCUGUUCCCACAGCUGUGUGAUGAAUCCAGUGUGACAGUGGGCCACAGGUCUAGAGGGCUUGGAGAUCUGGAAGAGGAGUUUGAUUUAGACGGCACCAAGACAGACACAGGCACAGAAAAAGUACAGAUGCCUUUGAACUUUGGUGCUGGUCAAGACGUUUGA